CCCACCCGUCAAACAGAGGAAGUUUUCACAGGGAGCAAUCAAUAUAAAAUGAAACCCUGUCUAGCUUGUCAGAUUCCCAUUUCUCCCCUUCCCUUCUAGUCCUCUGUAUUCAGAUAGUGGCACGAGCGUUGCCGAUAAGCCCGGGAAGGCCUGGGUUAUCUGAAGCACAGCUUACAGCCUGUCAAGCUCUGACCCUCAGCUUGUCAACAGACAUCCUAAGAAAGUGUCAGGGAACUGGAUACAGGUGUUUCACAACCACAGGAGCUAGUGGAAUAGAUCUUGGAUGCACUGGAAUACUCC